UGCCCCAUUCCUGUUCUGGCCCUGCCAUGGGUCCCAGGCUUCUCCACUGUGUGGCCCUUUGUCUCCUUGGAGUAGGUUACAUGAGUGGCAUAGUCACCCAGAACCCAAGAUACCAGGUUACCAGGAUGGGAAAACCAGUGACCCUGAGUUGCUCUCAGGACCUAAAUCAUGAUGUCAUGUACUGGUACCAACAGAAGCUGAACCGAGCCCCAAAGCUGCUGUUCUACUACUAUGAUCAGAAUUUUAACAAUGAAACAGACACCUCAGACAACUUCCAACCCAGCCGGCCUAAUACUUCCUUCUGUUCUAUGGAUAUCCGCUCACCGGGCUUGGGGGACUCCGCAGUGUAUCUCUGUGCCAGCAGCAAGUACACAGAGCUAGAGCGUUACCUCCUCUCUGCUCAUAAACCUGUUUCCAAAUCCAAGAGCCCUCUCUAGACACCCCC